UACGUAGGGACCAAGCGUUGUUCGGAUUUACUGGGCGUAAAGGGCGCGUAGGCGGCGUGUUAAGUCACUUGUGAAAUCUCUAAGCUUAACUUAGAACGGUCAAGUGAUACUGAUGUGCUAGAGUGCAGAAGGGGCAACCGGAAUUCUUGGUGUAGCGGUGAAAUGCGUAGAUAUCAAGAGGAACACCUGAGGUGAAGGCGCCUAUCUGGCCCGAUACUGACGCUGAGGCGCGAAAGCGUGGGGAGCGAACAGG
rnacentral:rRNA from 1 species